rnacentral:rRNA from 1 species
AUGAACGCUGGCGGCGUGCCUCAUACAUGCAAGUCGCACGAAACUUCUUUAUCACCGAGUGCUUGCACUCACCGAUAAAGAGUUGAGUGGCGAACGGGUGAGUAACACGUGGGCAACCUGCCCAAAAGAGGGGGAUAACACUUGGAAACAGGUGCUAAUACCGCAUAACCAUAGUUACCGCAUGGUAACUAUGUAAAAGGUGGCUAUACUACCGCUUUUGGAUGGGCCCGCGGCGCAUUAGCUAGUUGGUAGGGUAAAGGCUUACCAAGGCAAUGAUGCGUAGCCGAAUUGAGAGGUUGAUCGGCCACAUUGGGACUGAGACACGGCCCAAACUCCUACGGGAGGCAGCAGUAGGGAAUCUUCCACAAUGGGCGAAAGCCUGAUGGAGCAACGCCGCGUGGGUGAAGAAGGUCUUCGGAUCGUAAAACCCUGUUGUUAGAGAAGAAAGUGCGUGAGAGUAACUGUUCACGUUUCGACGGUAUCUAAACAGAAAGCCACGGCUAACUACGUG